AUUGAACGCUGGCGGCAUGCCUUACACAUGCAAGUCGAACGGCAGCGGGGGAGAAGCUUGCUUUUCCUGCCGGCGAGUGGCGAACGGGUGAGUAAUACAUCGGAACGUGCCCUGUAGUGGGGGAUAACUAGUCGAAAGAUUAGCUAAUACCGCAUACGACCUGAGGGUGAAAGUGGGGGACCGCAAGGCCUCAUGCUAUAGGAGCGGCCGAUGUCUGAUUAGCUAGUUGGUGGGGUAAAGGCCUACCAAGGCGACGAUCAGUAGCUGGUCUGAGGGGACGAUCAGCCACCCUUGGACGGAGACACGGCCCAGACUCCUACGGGAGGCAGCAGUGGGGAAUUUUGGACAAUGGGCGAAAGCCUGAUCCAGCAAUGCAGCGUGUGUGAAGUAGGCCUUCGGGUUGUAAAGCACGUUUGUCCGGAAAGAAAUGGCUCUGGUUAAUACCUGGGGUCGAUGACGGUACCGGAAGAAUAAGGACCGGCUAACUACGUGCCAGCCGCCGCCGUAA
rnacentral:rRNA from 1 species